AGGUGGUUAUGGCGCAGAUGCCCCACCCGAUCCCAUUCCGAACUCGGCCGUGAAAGUCUGCAGCGCCGAUGGUACUUUGUCUUAAGGCACGGGAGAGUAGGUCGCUGCCUGGUC
rnacentral:rRNA from 1 species